AGUGCGUCUGCACAGAACCGCCAAAUUGAAGAGGAUGAAGUAAGUAACCACAAUUUGUCACUGAUAGAUACACAGGUAAAACUAAAAACCUAUAUUAAAGUUUUUAUUGUACAUCACAAUACCUUGAGAAUAUCUGUGAGAUUAUGAAGAUGCAAGCUGGUGAGGCAUUGUACACAAACACACGCACAAACAUGUGUAUAUAUAUAUCAAUGUGUAUGUUGUUAUUAAAGAUAUGUUUCUCCUGAUUCAUUUAAGGCAGCGGUUGAAAAACUAAAUUCCAUCCUGGCUGAUAUUUGCCUUGACAUGUGGACUCGCCCAAUUCAUGAGGACAUUCUCCGUCGUCAUACGAAAGGCUAUCCUCACCUGUUAGCUACGAUGAAACAGGUGAAGCUAAACCUGCAUGAUAUCUGUUAUUACAUGAAGAUGACAGAAAAGCCUGAGGAUGCAGUGGUGCCGACUGCUCCAGUCCAUCCAAGUUAGAUUUAAUGAAG